rfam:Piloderma croceum F 1598 unplaced genomic scaffold scaffold_00006, whole genome shotgun sequence.
GGCCGUGUGGCGAAAUGGCAUCGCGUCUGACUACGAAAUCUGUGAUCAGGAGAUUGCAGGUUCGAGACCUGUCUCGGUCA